UACGUAGUGGAUGUUCAAACACGCAUGCGCCGUGAAUAUAAUGUUACGCGCAUGCGCGGUGGUGUGUUGUUAUUGGUGAACAAUCGCACGUGCUUUGGUAUUUCAAGAAGAAUCUGCCGAAAAACGAUGGAUUAUUUAACAACAGUGAUUGUAUAAAGAUUUGACUGGAUUUGGCAAGAUGCCCUUGCUCAUUAAAGAAGAUGGAGAUGUGGCUUUCCUCAGACUGUCUCUGACAUGCCAGCUUUUUCACCAUGUUGUUAGUGAAGCAUCUUUCAGAGAAAAGGCUCAUGUUGUCUGGCUUGACAGUGUUGUCAACUGGAACACAUUCUCCAUGGUGUAGAGAUUUAUUUACAGACUGUCCACCUGGUCGAGUUGGAGGAAGGGUGUCCCAGGGAGGAAUUGUUCAUCUAUUCUGCAUCAGUAAAGCAGUGGUGGCGUGGCACUGACCUUAAACUAUUUAAGAUCAAACUGUGACAAAAGCUUUACCUGACCUGACUGCAGUCAGUUAUAUGUGACCUUGCCUGUGAAAAAACAGGAUAAGUCUUGAAAUGUAAUUAUGAUAUAUUGAGCAUCAAAGUGUUAUUUUCAUUAAUCUCACAUUGAUUUUGAUAUUUGACAUGAUUUUACUCAGUCAACCCCACACACCCAGACAACACUUUCUUUGAACUUUUGCCCUUUGGCGCUACAGAGCACUGAAUACUAGACACAACAACCGUUUGUUCCUCAGGCUAAAACCUAAACAAUAAAAGCACCCAUUACUUCCACACCUGUAACUGUAUAUUGUUUAUAAUCACCACAUACUGUACAUCUGUAAAUACUAUUCUAAACUGUAAAUAUCACCUAUUAUCUAUCUGUACAAUAACAGCAUCUGAACAUCCAUACAUGCAUCACUACACACAAUUGUAAAAAAGGAGAAAAUGUAUACAUGUACUUA